GGUGAAAAGCACCCCGGAAGGGGAGUGAAAUAGAACCUGAAACCGUGUGCUUACAAGUAGUCAGAGCCCGUUAAUGGGUGAUGGCGUGCCUUUUGUAGAAUGAACCGGCGAGUUACGAUUUGAUGCAAGGUUAAGCAGUAAAUGUGGAGCCGUAGCGAAAGCGAGUCUGAAUAGGGCGUUUAGUAUUUGGUCGUAGACCCGAAACCAGGUGAUCUACCCUUGGUCAGGUUGAAGUUCAGGUA
rnacentral:rRNA from 1 species